CCAUUAGCCCAACAGACAUGCCGACUGGUGGGACCUGCCGAACAGCCUCUCUCACGCUCGCUUCAGUGACCGUUCGCUGGCGUGUGGACCUGGUGCCACGUCCUCGUUUCUCCGCAACUGACCGGUAGGCCCUAGUAGUCAGCUCCAUCUUCAACCUCCGUGCAUGGCGGGUCACGGCGCACCUUCCCCUUUCUUCGGCGUUUAGCUGGAACGUGCUGCCAACCCCGUGUGCCCAGAGGCUAAAUACGGACCCCCUCCUUCCCUGACUCCCUCGCCCAUCCUCGCCCGCACCACGAUUUGAAAUUCGCUCUGAGUGCCGCCGGGCAGGAAGACUAUCACCGCCGCCGAGGAAGAAUCCUGCUCACAACGUCGGCCGCGCUUGAGGGGUGGGCAGAUGCCUCUUCAACGCAUGUGUAACCUAUGCGCUGCGGAUUGACCUAAAGAUCUGACCAACCUUGGGCGGAAUUCCUCAUCGACGGUAGGGACCUCACGGAUUUCCGUCGAGCGCCGCGAGCAGGGCGUGACACCACUCAGAUUCUGGUAAGAACCCCGCCAACACAUCCUCAACAUUGUUCUCUUUGUAAAGUAGCGUUUCGUGCAAGAACCGAGAACUAGGAACGUAGAUCGAGGGCACCGGCGAUGGCGCCGCUGUGCUAAAUGUGGCGCCGCCGUGCGGGAUUG
rnacentral:lncRNA from 7 species